AGUGAACGCUGGCGGCGUGCCUAAUACAUGCAAGUCGAGCGAGCGGCGGACGGGUGAGUAAUGCCUGGGAACUGCCUGGUAGUGGGGGAUAACGUCCGGAAACGGGCGCUAAUACCGCAUACGAUUGGAUUGCCCAGGUGGGAUUAGCUAGUUGGUGAGGUAAUGGCUCACCAAGGCGACGAUCCCUAGCUGGUCUGAGAGGGUGAUCAGGCACACUGGAACUGAGACACGGUCCAGACGCGUACGGGAGGCAGCAGGGGGGAAUAUUGUACAGUGGGGGAAACCCUGAUGAAGAAGCGCCGCGUGCGGGAUGACGGCCUUCGGGUUGUAAACCGCGUUCAGCCAUGACGCGGUAGUGGCAGAAGAAGCACCGGCUAACUACGUGCCAGCAGCCGCGGUAAUAC
rnacentral:rRNA from 1 species